rnacentral:rRNA from 1 species
CCCUUAGAUGAUUUGGGCUGCACGCGCGCUACACUGAUGCAUUCAACGAGUCUAAAACCUGCUCUGAUAGGGGUGGGUAAUCUUUUGAAUGUGCAUCGUGAUUGGGAUAGAUGAUUGCAAUUUUUCAUCUUCAACGAGGAAUGCCUAGUAAACGCAAGUCAUCAGCUUGCAUUGAUUACGUCCCUGCCCUUUGUACACACCGCCCGUCGCUCCUACCGAUUGAAUGAUCCGAUGAAUAUCAUGGAUUGAGGAUUAUAGCAGGUUCGCCUGUCUUGAUCUUCGAGAAGUGAAGUAAAUCUUAUCAUUUAGAGGAAGGAGAAGUCGUAACA